rnacentral:lncRNA from 1 species
UGGGGCAGUGAUGUAUUUUUCUUUCUUUUUUUGUAAUCCAGAUAAUGUAGCCAAUUUUAGAUGUGAAUGAGUGAAAUUCAUUUUUGUUGAUAAUAUUCACUGUGUUUGAAUGGAUUAGUGCAAAUCCCAUUCUGAGUUAUAUUGGCCGAGUUUUGAUCUGUAUUAGCUUAGAACUUAGCUAUAAUUGAAACCAUAAAAUAUGAUC